GCCGAGGCAGCCCCGCGCCCGGCCGCCCCGCACCACCCGCCGACCCGCGGCUGCGGCCCCGACUGCGCCGCCCUGCGCCCGGCUCCCCGCCACCGAGCCCGGGGAGCCGAGAGGCGUGCGGCGGGGCCGUCGGCCGAGCCCCACAGCGCAGCGGGAGCGGCCGCGGGGCCGGGCGGGGGGCGCCGAGCAGAGGCCGAGGAGCUGCGGAGCGCGAGGGUCCGGCGGUAGCGGCCGGAUGGCGCCGGGAGUCCGAUGGCACGGGGAGGCGGAGCGGGUCGCGGUCUCGGGGACAAACGAGGGGGCGAGAGGAGCGCGGCCGCGCCGCUGCCUCCACCCGGGAGCCGGCGCUGGGGAGGCGGAACCGGGGAGCGGAAUCCCCGCAUCGCCUCCCGCGGACUCGGUGCCGGCCGAGCCGGGACGUCCCGAAGCGCUCCCGGGAGGGGCAGCCCCGGCACCGUCGCCCCGCGCUCGGGAACCGCUGGCCGUGCCCCGGGGCGACAGCCUCUGCCAAAGCCGUAGGGUCUGUGUGCGGAAAGUGCCACGUGUGAGUGUGUCGUUUCAGCUGAGUUUUGCAUGCAGUUGAAGAACAAUAUUUGUCAUGAAGAUUUCAUCUAAGUCUUCCUUGAAGCAGAAUGAAUUCCAGACUCGAGACCUCAUCUAAAUCAAACUGGAAUCUGUAUUAAGCUCAGAGUACAUUUUCAUUGUGUUUAUGUUCUACUUAUUUUUUUUUUUUAUUUUUAUUUUGCUGGCUGAAAUUAGCAUGUAUGGAACACCAAGUGUAGGGGACUGAGCUGUAUUCUUCUCUCCAGGAUAGUAAAGACAACGUUUUUGCUUCACAGAAAGAAAGGAAACAAACAACAAAAACAUAGAAAGAUGGUAAUACUUAUUCACUCCCACAUACCCUGAAGAAUCAAGACAGUAAUGAGAAGACACUGUAUUUAACCACUGUACUGACAGAAGAAUCAGUGAGCUUCAUAGCAGAAUAUUUAGUCUGAGAUAUUCUUACUCAAAGACAGCCCUUCAAAUGUUCACAUAACUGUCCACUUGUGCUCUGAGGGGAAAGAGAAAGUAAAUCAAGAACGCCUUCCUUAGAAAAACUGAAGAUUAAAUCUCAGUCUCAGUUGAGUUCCUACAUCUUCCACUGCUUUACACUCUAUGGGCUGCAAGUCUGUUCUGAGGCACAGGUACCCCAAAUGUACAUUUUACAUAAAUUAAAGAACCACUGUGGAAAUUACAUGAAGUGCUGGAGAAUAUAAUCCUUUCUGAGUUGUCUGACACACUCCAGAAACAGAUCUCUGCGGGAAACACUGAUUAUACAUACCAGGUUUAAAAGCAGAACUAACAGUUGAAAGCUUGUUGAACAACGCAAUGAUACUGUAUUUCUUAACUUGGAAAGGUGUUCAUCCAUCCUGCUCAGCCAGGAUGUUCAUCCGGCCCGUUUACCAUUUAUGAGACAUUGUGUUAGCAUUGAAUUAGCUUAUAGAUUGUUUUAAUAUGACUUGAAGCAGUAGGGUGUAUAAUUGUUUGAAUGUUCCUUUCCACUGACUGCACAGCAUUACUUCUUUCUGCACCUGAGAAAGCUUUUUCCUCCACCUGAACACUUAACGAGCAAAUUUCCAGACAUUCAGAAGCAAAUGCAAACAAUUUAGAACAGACCUUGUUCCUGCGAUUAAGGCCAAAAAAGAAACUACUCAAAGGAGCCCAUACAGCUAUGUUUUGUAACAUUUUCUCUUUUCUGUGGCACUUGUUAUUAUUUUCUUCAGCAAGGCACUGUGGCACAAGACACCCUUCCUUAUCCUGUUCUCUGGAGAGAAAAGUAGUUCUGCAGUCUCUGUACUGCAAGUUCUGUGUGAAUACAAAAUGUAUGAAGACUCAGUGAAAUGAGCAAUUUCGGUUCCAUUUAAUAUUCUUUAGGCUGCUGUUAUUUUCUGCAACAUUUUUUUAAGUUCUGUGUCAUGUUGUUGAAAUUGUGAGUUAAAUUUGCCACUAAUUAACAAGAGGACUUUACCAAUGAAACCCUGCUUUGGAAAUCCCUAUGACUGUGCUUUAAAUUGCUUGCAUACAUGCACUCUAUAGUGUAUUUGCAUCAAUGACAGCAUGUGAUAAAUAGCAUUAUGUGAGUUAAUUAAUGACUGCAUAGCAUAUUCAGAUCAUAAGCAGUCAAAAGCAUUACAAUGAUGUUUUUUACAUCUGCUAAAAUUUUUAUAAGCCAGAAAUAAAAGACUGAGUAAAGGUGGCCAUGUGGGUUGGCAAUUAAUUGGAAAAUCACCAAAGAUUACAUAGUGAGUGAAGCACUUACUGAAAAAAAGCAAAAAUGAGAAAAUGCAGCCAUUUGGGAUAUCUGUUAUUAAACCUUCAAACAAAUGUAAACAUGUCCUUUAAAAAAAAUACAAUUUUGUAUACUGCAUUAGUUUGCAAUGAAUAUGACAUGUAGUGCAUGAGAAAGUACUCCUUGGUCAGUACAGGACAUAGCAAAAUGCCUAGCACAUUAAAGCUUGUGUGUGAAAUGUGUAUGGAUACCAAGUUGACCAGUGAGAUGACAAAAUAUUUAUGUUAUUCUAAAUAUAAAAUGUCAUACACUUGUAUCUACAUUCUCUUCCUUGGACAAUCUAGUUACUUGUAUUCUCUUCAUUAUACAGUGAAGUAAUUUACUAAGUCAUGAGUCUGUGUCAAUUAUAUUUAGAUUUAACAGAAGUUCUAGAAACUGGACAGAUAAAUGACAUUACAAGAUCAGGUGAAGUAAUUAUCAAUCAUGCUAAUUACAGGUGUUUUAUUAUGUUUAAGUUUAUGACCUACUAAGGCUUGCAACAGUCCUGGAAGAGAAAUAAUAUGAUAGAUGUCUUACAUAUGGGUAGAUAAAAAAAGUUUGAAGUAAGCUGAUCAGGGUCUCUGUAUCUGAUCCUUACAUUUAGGUCAUACUUCCAGCUAUGACAUCAUAUAUGAUAAAAGUAUUCAAGCUAAGCAAAUCCUAUUAUUUAUUAAAGAGUCUCUCAGUAUAACCUUCUCUUUCCAAAGUUAGGAGUAAAAAUUGUAUCAGAUUCAUAAUAACUU
rnacentral:lncRNA from 1 species